UAGUAUUGGUUACAGUUCAUCAUGAGGUGUUUGCUAGCCAUUCUCUUGUUCACCGCGGUGGCAGUGUCUAACAUAGCCGCUUUUAACUUAUUCCCAGCAAACAAACCAUUUUGGCCCCAUGAUUGCUACACGGACAACGACUGCCCUGGCGACGACUGUAUCUGCGACAUUGGUCACGACCACUUCCUUCAUUGUAUAUGUUUGCCUACAUUCCCACCACCGCUACUUGCGAAGUCUGGAGAGUAACCCACUGUGAAACCUGAGAGACCUAAAAUGUAUUAAAUGUUGUAUAACGAUACAUAUUAAAUGUUGUAUAACAAGAUGUUGUAUAAACAUAACAUCAAC